UGUCCAAGGAUGGGAAUCGAACCCACAGUGUUCCGCUUACCGGGCAGAUGCCAUGUCCACUAGGCUUUUAACAAAGAU
rnacentral:tRNA from 1 species